rnacentral:rRNA from 1 species
GACGAACGCUGGCGGCGUGCUUAACACAUGCAAGUCGAACGGAAAGGCCCUGCUUUUGUGGGGUGCUCGAGUGGCGAACGGGUGAGUAACACGUGAGUAACCUGCCCUUGACUUUGGGAUAACUUCAGGAAACUGGGGCUAAUACCGGAUAGGAGCUCCUGCUGCAUGGUGGGGGUUGGAAAGUUUCGGCGGUUGGGGAUGGACUCGCGGCUUAUCAGCUUGUUGGUGGGGUAGUGGCUUACCAAGGCUUUGACGGGUAGCCGGCCUGAGAGGGUGACCGGCCACAUUGGGGCUGAAAUACGGGCCCGACUCCUACGGGAGGCAGCAGUGGGGGAUAUUGCACAAUGGGCGGAAGCCUGAUGCAGCAACGCCGCGUGCGGGAUGACGGCCUUCGGGUUGGAAACCGCUUUCGCCUGUGACGAAGCGUGAGUGACGGUAAUGGGUAAAGAAGCACCGGCUAACUACGUG